rnacentral:rRNA from 1 species
GAGGAGGAUCAUUACUGAGUUUACGCUCUACAACCCUUUGUGAACAUACCUAUAACUGUUGCUUCGGCGGGUAGGGUCUCCGCGACCCUCCCGGCCUCCCGCCUCCGGGCGGGUCGGCGCCCGCCGGAGGAUAACCAAACUCUGAUUUAACGACGUUUCUUCUGAGUGGUACAAGCAAAUAAUCAAAACUUUUAACAACGGAUCUCUUGGUUCUGGCAUCGAUGAAGAACGCAGCGAAAUGCGAUAAGUAAUGUGAAUUGCAGAAUUCAGUGAAUCAUCGAAUCUUUGAACGCACAUUGCGCCCGCCAGCAUUCUGGCGGGCAUGCCUGUUCGAGCGUCAUUUCAACCCUCAAGCUCUGCUUGGUGUUGGGGCCCUACAGCUGAUGUAGGCCCUCAAAGGUAGUGGCGGACCCUCUCGGAGCCUCCUUUGCGUAGUAACUUUACGUCUCGCACUGGGAUCCGGAGGGACUCUUGCCGUAAAACCCCCAAUUUUCCAAAGGUUGACCUC